UCGUACGCAAUGUUAAUCAACGUAGGGUAAGCCGGCCCCUAAGGCGUAGCUGAAGAGUGAAGUCGAUGGCAAAGAGGUUAAUAUUCCUGUGCCGCUUAUAUAAACGAAGGAAGGACGGAGAAGGUUAGGUAGGCCUGGCGAAUGGUUGUCCAGGUGAAAGUAUAUAGGUAGAGGUGUUAGGCAAAUCCGGCAUCUUGUUAAUCUGAGAUACGAGACGAAGUCAAACUUGUUUGACGAAGCUAUUCCUACCAUGCUUCCAGGAAAAGCUUCUAAGUAAUAUUGUAUAAGCGACGGUACUGUAAACCGACACUGGUGGGUAGGUAGAGAAUACUAAUGCUAUGAGAUAACUCUGGUGAAGGAACUAGGCAAAAUGACACCGUAACUUUGGAAAAAGGUGUGCCCUUGAUGGUGAUAAGACUUGCACUUUGGGCUCUUGGGGGUUGCAUAUACCAGGUGGCUGCGACUGUUUAUCAAAAACACAGCACUCUGGGAAAUUGUAGGAUGAAGUAUAGGGUGUGACGCCUGUUCGGUACUGGAACGUUAAU
rnacentral:rRNA from 1 species